rnacentral:rRNA from 1 species
UAACAAGGAUUCCCCUAGUAACUGCGAGUGAACCGGGAAAAGCUCAAAUUUUGAAUCUGGCGGUCUUUAUGGCCGUCCGAGUUGUAAUCUAGAGAAGCGUCUUCCGCGCUGGACCGUGUAUAAGUUUCCUGGAAUGGAACGUCGUAGAGGGUGAGAAUCCCGUCUUUGACACGGACUGCCAGGGCUAUGUGAUGCGCUCUCGACGAGUCGAGUUGUUUGGGAAUGCAGCUCAAAUAGGGUGGUAAAUUCCAUCUAAAGCUAAAUAUAGGCGAGAGACCGAUAGCGAACAAGUACCGUGAGGGAAAGAUGAAAAGAACUUUGGAAAGAGAGUUAAACAGUACGUGAAAUUGCUGAAAGGGAAACGCUUGAUGUCAGUCGCGUUUGUCGGGGAUCAGCCUUGCUCUUUUGCUCGGCGUACUUCCUGGCGAACGGGUCAGCAUCAGUUUUGUUCGUCGGAAAAUGGCUCGAGAAAUGUGGCACUCUUCGGGGUGUGUUAUAGACUCGGGUCGAAUACGACGUUCGGGACUGAGGAACUCAGCACGACCUUCGGGUUCGGGGCUUAGGCCCACGUUAACGUGCUUAGGAUGCUGGCAUAAUGGCCUUAAGCGACCCGUCUUGAAACACGGACCAAGGAGUCUAACUCGCAUGCGAGUGUUUGGGCGAUUAAAACCCGAGCGCGUAAUGAAAGUGAAAGUCGAGACCCCUGUCGUGGGGGGCAUCGACGCCCGGACCAGAGCUUCUGCGACGGAUCUGCGGUAGAGCAUGCGUGUUGGGACCCGAAAGAUGGUGAACUAUGCCUGAAUAGGGUGAAGCCAGAGGAAACUCUGGUGGAGGCUCGUAGCGAUUCUGACGUGCAAAUCG